CGGCGCGCGCGCGGAAGCCCCUGCGGCGGCACGCGCCCCGGGAGCGGUUGCGCGCUAACUGCCACGCGCUAACGGCCGCGCGGCCGCGGGGGCGGAGGAGCGAGGGGGGGCGGAAGGCGCGCUCGCGCUCCACGCCCGGCGCGAGCCGCCCGCUCCUUCCCGCCACCCGCCCUGAGGUGGCGGAACGUCGGUCCCCGCCCGCACCAAACGGAGCUGUGUAAGCGUUUAGACAGACGCGUACGUGGGUAUCCCGCGCGACGGGCGGCCGCCCCCACGGGGGGGCGUGGGGGGAGCGGCCGGGGCCCGGCGAGUCCGGGCGGCCGCGCGGCGCUGGGAGCGGCCCUCUGGCCAAGGUAUUUAGGGACAGAAACGCUGAGCUGGUCUAACUUUCUUUUUUAUCUCGUCUUUUUGCUUUGAGAUACCGCGGAAAAGUUGCUAGUGCGGGCUGUAAAGCACACAAAGGGUACCGAAGUAUUUUCCCUUUAAGGACCAUCCAUCUCUUUUUUUCCUUUUUUCUUAACUCCUGAAAAGGAGAAUAAAAGAAUUAUAAAGAAAGAAGUUCUUCAGCAUCCCCUCCAAAGGAGCAUUAUGGACCACAAAGGGGUGUGCGCUCGAACAUCAUACCAGAAGCAAGCGGAAGUGGUAGGAAUUAGUUUACUCUUCUGCUGGCUGUUUAGUGAACUUUUGACCUUUUUUUGAAGACUUUGUGGCUGAAUCUGAGCAACAUUAUUAUUAGAAUGUUGUUCCAGUUACCCAUUUGUGCAGGUCUUUGUAACAGAUGCUUGCUUUUUUGGCUAGAAGUUGUCCUUGGGUGACUUGAAAUCAAAAGGAGGUAUGCUGUCCUCCCCAGAAAUAUAGUAUAUCAGGUAUCAGACAUUUCUGUUAGCAAUCGGCCUGGGUUCUUGAAUGAGCUGGAAAACAGAUCAGGUCAUUUCAAGCAUCCAUAUCACAAGCAGGAAGUCCAUGACAAUGUUCUGGAGACUUUUCUACAAGAAUGCAGUUAACCGAGAUCUUUUCAUCUCAUGGACGUGAAUAGGAAAUGCCAUCUUUUUUACUUCAGUGUCUUCCAGACCCUUUUGUAAUCAACUGUUAAAGGAGACAGAUGCAUUCAUGUCAACCAUGCAUGCGUUUUCUAAUCUUCAGAGUUGUUUUAAAAUAGCUGUCAUUCUGAUAGCUAAGGAUAAGCAUAAGGCAGAUCUGGCAUAAUUUUAACUUUUCUGUUGAACUUCGAUGUUCAACCUCAUUAUUGAAGUAGCUGGGGUUUUUUUAAAUGCCCAGUGAUUUUUUUUUUUUCCUUCAGAGAAAUACCCUAAUUAAUAGAAGAAGAAAUACAAGGCAAAUUUAUUUGGCCAAGUAGACUUAAUAUGCCAUGUGGUAUACAGAAAAGCCAGUUUUCCUUUCCUUGGCCUCAUUGUCUGGAAUUUCUCUGCUUCCUGGAUGGCGCUGGGUUCCUCUAUCAGCUCAGUCUAUUUGACAGCUGUUUCAGAACUAUGCUUCCAGGCUGGUGGCUUCUUUGUUUUUGUUGGUACUAUAGUAACUGCAUCUUGAAGGGUUUGUUAAUAUUUUUUUUUCCUUUAUGUACUAGUUUUCAAGUAGGAUCUGAAUAUCAUAGUUUUUUCUGAACACUUUUUGAGUGGUCGGAAAUGGUACUUGAGCUCUGAAGUGCUUAUGAAUGUUUAUCACAGAUCCUUCAUAACUUACACUGAUCUUGGAAAGAGGUAUGCAUUAAGAAAGAAAAAGUACAGAAGAACACAUGCAAAUGUAGAUAUAUAUUAAAACUGUUAUCAACUAUUUAAAAAAAAUACCUUAAAAUGGCUGAUAGCCAGUAUCUAGAUUAAUCCUUUAAAUUUACAAGGCAAAUGCUAUGAUAUGAAAUUUGGAGAUAUAUACACACCAGUCUUCAAUAAAAGCUGAAACAAACUAUAUUUUGUAUACUUUCUUAAUUUGAUUUAAAAUUGACAGUCCCAACUACAUGUUCAAGAUCUAAGUAAAACUGGCUAUACUGAAGUCUCUGGAAAACCCCACACUGUUAAUGAUGUAAAGAUUAUAACACAGAAACUGGAUUUUAUAACUCGAGUAUAUUCUGAAGAAAAGUUUAAUGAGCUGAUUUUCAUUAGAAAUAUAUGUUGAUAUCACUUCAAUGGAAAGCUACAUUACGAAAGGACAAGCCAUAUACUUGGGUGAAGACUGGUAAUUAUUGAUAAGGAAGCAGUAUCAGGGCAUAUUUCAAAUUAUAUUGUAUAAGUGGCUUUUGGAUAAGAUCCUAAACAAAUUAACUUAAUGUUCUGCUUUAGUGGUAAGACUAUUUUUGUAUGAAACUCAUCUAAAUAACAUGUGCUGAGUAUUGUGUACAGUUAAUAGUGAGAAUACAGAAUUUGAUAAAAGCA